rnacentral:lncRNA from 1 species
CGCGCGCUGGGGCCCUGGGAACAGCCUGGGGGGGCUCCGGCGACAGCCGGGCUGGGGGCGGGGAGGCGGGGGCGGGUGGCUCGGGAAGAUGGGAGCAGAAGCUGGGGGGCGGGGGGCGCGGCCGAGGCGCGUGCGGGCGGUGCUCCGCAAAGUGGCGAGUCUGGGCGGUCGGGCCCUGGGCGCUGCUCCCCAGAAGGGGCCAGGGUCGCGGGCUCAAGCGGGACAGGGGCCUCCCUGGGCGCAGGCCGUGCGGGCAUGGUGAAGGAUGGGAGAGGCUGGCGCGCUGCCCGGGGUCUGCCCCGACCCGGCACCUUCGGAGGUGAAGAAACUGAUGCCUCAGGAAGGAAUCUACCCACGGGGGCAGGCGGGGCCGACGGAGAUGCCAGGCCGUGAUCUAGAGGCCUGCUCCAUCAGGACCAGAGUGUGAGCCUGGGCGCUGGGCCUGUCCUGCAGGUCCGCGCCUCGCUCACCCCUGGCUUACAGUGCAGACCACUUCCCUCAUUUAGACUCAGAUGGCUCCCACAUUUGUAUCUCCUGCCCAGACCUGCUCCCUAAGCUCAGCUCCACCUGCCUACGUGGUCCUCCCCCAGCGAGGUCCCUUCUGGGACCGUCUCAGCCCAGCCCCGGGCAGUGGUCCCUCGCUUGACACCCCAGUACCCCCAGCCCGCCCAAACCAGUGCCCGCUGCAGCCCAGGGAGGCUCUCAAGUGCGGCUCUGACCCCACUGCCCCGUGCAGCGCUGCGCCGGCGUCCCACUGCUCCACGGAUGGAGACUGGCUCCUUGCAUGGUGGCCCCGUGAUCCCUGCAGCGUCACUGUGCACGAACCCCUCGCUGACCCCCAGCCGCUCUGGC